UUGAGCUUGAAUCCUGGCUCAGGACGAACGCUGGCGGUAUGCCUAAUACAUGCAAGUCGAACGCUGAAGCACUCUGCUUGCAGAGUGUGGAUGAGUGGCGAACGGGUGAGUAACACGUGGGGAACCUGCCCAUAAGAGGGGGAUAACAUCCGGAAACGGGUGCUAAUACCGCAUAGGUGAUCAUAGCGCAUGCUUAGAUCAUUAAAGAUGGCUUCGGCUAUCGCUUAUGGAUGGCCCCGCGGCGUAUUAGCUAGUUGGUGAGGUAAUGGCUCACCAAGGCUGUGAUACGUAGCCGACCUGAGAGGGUGAUCGGCCACACUGGAACUGAGACACGGUCCAGACUCCUACGGGAGGCAGCAGUAGGGAAUCUUCCACAAUGGGCGAAAGCCUGAUGGAGCAAUACCGCGUGAGUGAAGAAGGUCUUCGGAUCGUAAAGCUCUGUUGUUAGAGAAGAACAAGAGGUGUAGUAACUGGCACCUCCUUGACGGUAUCUAACCAGAAUCCG
rnacentral:rRNA from 1 species